GCUAGAAGGAGAUUCUAACUUGGUGAACAAAACAAUAAAUACAAAAUGUGGAAGAUUAUUGAGUUGCAGCUCUAACAAGUUGUAUCAGACUUAUAAAAAACUCGUACAAUCUCAUGGUGCUGACUAUGCAAAAAGCCACCCGCCAAAGAAUGCCACACUUAAGCAGUGGACUGAACUCAUUGAAGGGAGAUGGACCAAUAAGGACUGGCUGGAAAAAUCAAGAAUUAACUCUGAAAAUAGGAGCAAAACUUCAGGCAAACAUAGAUGCGGGUCAAAGGCACUUGCUGUUAGGGUUGAUGAGGAGACAAAUAAUAAUGGCGGUCAAGUUCCUGAAUUGGCAAAAAUUUACAAAGAUGUUCAUUUCAAUCCAAAUACAAAUAGGUGGAUACAGCCUGAGGAUGAA